rnacentral:miRNA from 1 species
ACGGUGGCCCUGAGGUGCAAAACACAAUGGCAAAUCAGAAAACACAACACAAAAAGAGAAAACAAAAUGUUAACGUUGUUGUGUUUUCUGGUAUGCUAGUGUGUUAUCUCUUUUGUCGUUUUGUUUUCCCUUUUUUGUGUUGUGUUUUCUGAUUUGCCGUUGUGUUUUGCACCUCAGGGCCACCGUA